UACGAGAGCCUCAAGCGUUAUCCGGAAUUAUUGGGCGUAAAGGGUGUGUAGGCGGUAAUGUUAGUCUCAUGUCAAAGCCUGUCGCCAAACGACAGAUCCGCAUGGGAAACGGCAUAACUAGGAGGGUGCGAGAGGUGAAUGGAACUCACGGUGUAGGGGUGAAAUCCGUUGAUAUCGUGGGGAACGCCAAAAGCGAAGGCAAUUCACUGGCGCAUACCUGACGCUGAAACACAAAAG
rnacentral:rRNA from 1 species